UGCAGAAGCCUUUUAUGUAGACGGUGUGUCUAUACAGCAGCUACUCUUCAGAGGAGGAGUUUUGCCGAAGGAUUGGGCCUCUCUGCUGGACCACUUGGGCCACUGUGAAAUGCCGGCCAGUUUUGCCGCACAGUCAUGGUCAUUACUGACAUCAGCUCCCCUGCCUGGUCUGCUUUCCUGGAGAGUUAGUUGAUCCAUGCUUCUCUCUACUACACAGACAGUCCUGGUAAGUCCAGGGGGGAUGAAUGGUGGUGUAUUUGCAAUGCAAGAUGAGAUGAGCGCAGGCAAGUACCUUGUAACGAAGAUGGAGUGUGCGUGGCAUCAUCCACAACUGGAUGUAAUCGGCAAGGGAGGCUGCAGAUACGAUAGCGAGGCAUGUGUUGUCGGUCAUUGUCAGAGACAGGAUAAUGGGAUAAUGAACUGAAGGGAUAUCAGGUACCAUGCCUGGUGAAUUGAUGGACUCCUGUUUCUUUGCCCACUCAACCUCGCCUGGUCCCUGGAUCCACCCAAUGACUAAGAGCUGGUAAAAGACUUGUUACCCGUAUUUCCUUCAUUUCAAAAUCAGGUUCGUUCUGCAGCUUUGGAAAAGCAAUGAUUCUGAACGUUUUUGGUAUUCAGGUCUCAUCCCAAGUCCUUCCUUCCUUUUCCUUUCCCCUUGUUUUUUUCCUAUCCAUUUUUUUCCAUUAAAAAUAAACACAAAAAUAUAGCUACAAAGAAAAAUGAAAAACGGAAAGAUGGUCUUUCUUAGUUAUGUUGAAAAAGUGGAACAUUUUGGAAAUAAAUACCCCCCCCCCUUGGUGUCUGAAAAAGGCCAUUUUUGAACAGCAGAGGCAUUAGAAACAUUUUGACUGGCUUUGUCCAGAAGCAAAUUAGGAGGGAAAAUGAGUUUUUGGUGUUGACCCACUCUACUGUUCAUAGUGCUAACAAGGUUCGAAGCUGGUUGUACCCCGUCAUACAUUUCUUUCUGAGCAUGACUACGUUCUCUGUACAGAGCAAUGCUGAACCUUGGCUUUCCUGGAGUUUCCUCUGUAUGGAGCUUCUCUGGCAUCCCAAUGCGCUGUGCAGUAAAAAGGAAAAUCCCCACUCCUGAGUGAAUCCUUGCAUCUGCUGCUGACUGGAGUGAAGGUUGGCAGGAGUUUCAAUGAUGAGCUUCUGACGGGACCAAAUGGAAACACCUGCCAUUUGAACUCCCCUCUUUGAACAGAGCACUGAGCUGACCGCUGUUUCAAACCUCCUUGGGGACCCAUAGCACACUACAUAAAUAAACAGCAAGGCUGGGAAAGGAGCCCCAGCUUUCCAGGCCUGACAUGCAGAAACCUUACCAGCACAUAGGUGACAUAUUUUAUUGUGUGGCUGUGCAAUUACUGCCACUUGGUUUUAGCCUUGCAUGCCUUAUUGGCGGUGCUGCCAGAAUAUACAACCCUAUUCCUUGCCGUGUGGUUUACUUAUCUUUGCCCCUCAACUUUCCCACCCAUCAAGUGGAGAAAGCAAAGCUUACCUUAGUCACAGAGAUGCUGCAAUGAAUAAAAUGUGAUGCAGCCCUUUGAGAAUUAAACCUGAUACGAAGGGUACUGAUUGAUUCUGCCACUCUUUUGUACUUCAAAGCAUCGCUUAAGCUCCAGGUAGUCUCAUUAAAGCCAGUGGGGUGUGUGGUACUGCUCUACCCGAGGAAGAAAGACAGAACCUGGCCCUAAAUAGGGAGGGUUAGAGUCUGCUAUUUGUACUGGUCUUGAUAGUGUCUUGCUCUGGGGGAGCCCCAUGGCUUCCAAGAGGGCUGGUUAGAAAGGUGCUCUUCAAUAUAACUCAGGCUAUCAGAAUCAAGCCUUAAGUAAUAUAACUAGCUAAAGUGCCACGUAUUCCAACUCUUUGCAGAAGGCUGGCAUCCCUGUCAAUGCCUGCACCUCAGCCUGGGAAGAAAGCUGUUCUACUUUUUGCUGUUUUAGUGCUUUUAACAUUAAAUGAAGUAUGAACUUCCCUCUAGACAUCCACGCAGAGAGCUGUAGUACCCCUUUCACUGCUGCCUCGCAAGCGCUCACGGUGUGUGAAAAGAACAAAAGCCAAUAAGCAGUGAAGACAACCAUGUAAUCCAGUGUUUUGCAGGCUUCUAUAUCAGGGAAAAAGCUGCCUUCUAGUCUACUUGAA